rnacentral:tRNA from 1 species
GGUGGCUCAGUGGUAGAGUGCUUGCCUUGCAUGCAUGUAUCCCUGGGUUCGAAUCUUCAGCACCA